rnacentral:rRNA from 1 species
AAUGAACGCUGGCGGCAUGCUUAACACAUGCAAGUCGAACGGAAACGCCUUAUAGCAUGCUCUCUGGUGGACAACCGGCGAACUACACGAUGUAAUGAUCUGCCCUCUGCUCUAUGAUAGGCCAGUAACUACUGGAUCCAAUACCUAAUACCACCUCACUUCACUGUACCUGGUAGAAAGAUCUUUCGGCCUCUUAUCAUCCCACGUGCUAUCAUCUUAUUAGGCUGGGUAAUGGCCUAACGACUCACCUACGCGAAAUCCCACUGAGAUCUUGAGACGAUCACCUUGCGACUUAGAUAUGACACACACUCCUAACUCAUGCAGCAGGGAGCAAUAUUGAAUAUUGCACACUGGCCUCAUGCCUCAUCCCCCCGUGCCGCAUGACUGACUACGGGCUGCAAACUCCUUUCCCCUUUCACCAAGCAUUAUGGGACUGAACCUGAAAAAUACACCCCUUCUAACUACUCGCCAACAACCCCCCUAAUACCUACGGGGCAACCGUCGUCCUGAAUUACUGGGCGUAAACAUCUCUCAGAUGUAUUGUCACGUCAUCUGUCACAUUCCACAUCUUAACUGUGAUCUUGCAUGCGAUACCUCCUGACUUGAAUACUGUAUGAGUAACUGGAAUUCCAGGUGUAGCGGUGAAAUGCGCAGAGAUCAGGAGGAACACCGAUGGCGAAGGCGGCUCACUGGACGGAGACUGACGCUGAGGAGCGAAAGCAUGGGGAGCAAACAGGAUUAGAUACCCUGGUAGUCCACGCUGUAAACGAUGUGGAUUAGGAGGAGGUGCCUUUUGGGGUUUCUGUGCCGGAGGUUACGGCAUAAAUCGCCCGGCUGGGGGAGUACGGCCGCCAGGCUAACUCUCAUAGAGAAUUGACGGGGGGCCGCCCCAGGGGGGGGGCAAGGGGGAUAAUUUGGAGGAAAGGGGAGGACCUUACCUAGUGCUGGCAUCCAGAGAGAUUUCCGGAGAGAUGUAGGUUCCCUUGUGAGCUCUGAACCAGUGGCGCAUGGCUGUCCUCCGCUCCUGGCUUGAAAUGUUGGGUUAAGUCCCCCCACGAACGCAACCCUUGUCUUAUGUUGGCCGCACGUUCUGGCGGGGACUCAUGAGAGACUGCCAGUGUUAACUCGGAGGAAGGUGGGGACGACGUCAAGUCAUCAUGCCCCUUAUGACCAGGGCUUCACACAUGCUACAAUGGCCUGUACAAUGCGCAGCGAGCCUGUGAGGGUGAGCUAAUCUCUUAAAGCUGUCUUAGUUCGGAUUGGGGUCUGGCACUCGACUCCAUGAAGUCNGAGUCCCUAGUAAUCGCAGAUCAACAGUGCUGCGGAGAAUAUUUUCCCGGGUCU